AACGUACGCUGGCGGCACGCCUAACACAUGCAAGUCGAACGAAGUAGCAAUACUUAGUGGCAGACGGGUGAGUAACAUGUAGGUAUCUGCCCUUUGGCCUGGAAUAACACGAGGAAACUUGUGCUAAUACCGGAUAAGUCUUUACGGAGAAAGCUUUAUGCACCAUUGGAUGAGCCUGCACUUGAUUAGUUUGUUGGUGGGGUAAUGGCCUACCAAGACUGUGAUCAAUAGCUGAUUUGAGAGGAUGAUCAGCCACAUUGGGACUGAGACACGGCCCAAACUCCUACGGGAGGCAGCAGUGGGGAAUCUUGCACAAUGGAGGAAACUCUGAUGCAGCGAUGCCGCGUGAGUGAAGAAGGCCUUUGGGUUGUAAAGCUCUUUCGUCGGGGAAGAAAAUGACUGUACCCGAAUAAGAAGGUCCGGCUAACUUCGUGCCAGCAGCCGCGGUAAUACGAAGGGACCUAGCGUAGUUCGGAAUUACUGGGCUUAAAGAGUUCGUAGGUGGUUGAAAAAGUUAGUGGUGAAAUCCCAGAGCUUAACUCUGGAACUGCCAUUAAAACUUUUCAGCUAGAGUAUGAUAGAGGAAAGCAGAAUUUCUAGUGUAGAGGUGAAAUUCGUAGAUAUUAGAAAGAAUACCAAUUGCGAAGGCAGCUUUCUGGAUCAUUACUGACACUGAGGAACGAAAGCAUGGGUAGCGAAGAGGAUUAGAUACCCUCGUAGUCCAUGCCGUAAACGAUGUGUGUUAGACGUUGGAAAUUUAUUUUCAGUGUCGCAGGGAAACCGAUAAACACACCGCCUGGGGAGUACGACCGCAAGGUUAAAACUCAAAUGAAUUGACGGGGACCCGCACAAGUAGUGGAGCAUGUGGUUUAAUUCGAAGAUACGCGCAGAACCUUACCAACACUUGACAUGUUCGUCGCGACUCUAAGAGAUUAGAGUUUUCGGUUCGGCCGGACGAAACACAGGUGCUGCAUGGCUGUCGUCAGCUCGUGUCGUGAGAUGUUGGGUUAAGUCCCGCAACGAGCGCAACCCUCACUUUUAGUUGCCAUCAUUAAGUUGGGCACUCUGAAAGAACUGCCAGCGAUAAGCUGGAGGAAGGUGGGGAUGACGUCAAGUCCUCAUGGCCCUUACGUGUUGGGCUACACACGUGCUACAAUGGUAUCUACAACAGGAAGCAAGACUGCGAAGUUAAGCAAAUCCCUAAAAGAUACCUCAGUUCGGAUUGCUCUCUGCAACUCGAGUGCAUGAAGCUGGAAUUACUAGUAAUCGUGGAUCAGCGUGCCACGGUGAAAUGCGUUCCCGGGUCU
rnacentral:rRNA from 1 species